ensembl:lncRNA
CAUGGGGGUGUACCAUAGAUUUUAAAUAUAACGAGUCGACUCAUUGCUAAAGAUUAAACUUCUCCAUGUGCUUCUACAUUUGAGAGCAUCCACAAAAAUUUCAGGUUUACUUCACUUCAUUUUUGAACACUGUUAUUAAACUAGAGGCACACACAGAGUACUUCUGUGGCUCCAUGCAUAUGGCAGUACAGCUGCCUCUGCAAUCAUUGUAACACACUGUCUGUUUGUGGUCCAGGUGUGAUGUGGAUUCAGUGCAGUGGUCUCCUGUUGUGUGUGAGGUGUGAAAGGCACUGCACACUUCUUGAGGAGUUGAGGACAGAUUGAGUUCUGUACUGCUGAACAGCUGUCAUUCCCUGCUCACUGUCAAAAAACAUAUAGGGACGCCUGGGGUUCUGACAGCUCUACCACCAUCCACAACGUUUAUUUAUCUGAGGAGGAGAAAGAGAAGCUGGAGUGGAUGAUGAUUCUCACACCUCCGGCUCAGCGUUGAUAUCUGUUCAGAGAGCGGCAGAGGGAAUGAAAGAAUGGAAGGAGGAGGUGCAAGGAAGAGGAGGAGGUGUGUCAUCCCCUUCACAGCUCUGUGGAACAGCCCACCUUGAGUUCACCCCUGCUGGACUGGAGAGGCACUGCGGCCCCCUGUUUCCCUCCACAGGUGUGUCGAUAGCCAAGUGCAGGUGAAAGGGCUGUUCUUCAGGGAACUUCUGUGAUUUCUUCAUAUCCUGUUUUUCUGGCUGUGAAAACCACAGGAAUAUGAGAAUCUUCAAAACAAUACAAUUAUAUUGGAAAGAAGCUAUAGAAGAUGGACAUUACAAUUUGAGUUGAAGAUAUCAGCAAAGUUUAAUUUGAAAGAAAAUGGCCCUAAAAUUUAUUAAAAAUGAUUCAAAUACAUUUGUCUUAAGCUGAAUUUUUUUAUUUUAUUUUAUUUAUUAUUUUUAUUUAAUUUUUUGUUUAGUGCUUAACACCUAAUUUGUUGUUCCUUUUGUUUCAAAAAUGUCCAGCUUUUAAAAAAUUGCUUGUGAAUUUCUUGUCAUGCUAUGUUAUUACUAAAUAUUCAAGCUCAUUAGUCAUAGUCUCAUGAGCUUGAUUUCAGUUUUGGAGUGAAAAAAAAAAAGACAAUUUGUGGAUAUUUUUGGCAGCAUUCACUCAAAAACUGAGGUGCAUUAGCUCAGACCAGUGAGACCUAUGAUUAAUCAGAUCAAAAAAGAAAUGACAAAACCUGUGCUAAUUGAAAGAAUACAAGAAAGAUAGAAUCCAAUAUUUGGUGAUAAUAUAGCAACACAAGACAUUUAGAAGUUGUGGAAUGGAAUGUUGUGAUAUCUUGUGUGCAUAAAAUCAAUAGUAGACUAUCCACCUUAUGUUUCAAUGCAGAAGUAAGCCAUUUUCUGUGAAGGUGUGAGACUUCCGGUUCAUUAGCCACUAUAGGGAAAUAACGAGAAGAAUAAAAACGUGUAAAACUGUUUGCA